AGUCCUUGUGUCUUUAAAGAGUCCUAGUUAUUUGGAAGUCUUAGUUGGUUUAGUGGAUUUCGUCGGUCGAUUUGAUCAGUCGAUUUGGUCGAUCGAUUUCGUUGGUCGAUUUCGUCGGCCGAUUUCCUCGGCCGAUUUCGUCGGCCGAUUUCCUCGGCCGAUUUCGUCGGCCGAUUUUCUCGGCCGAUUUCGUAACUGAUUUCGUGAGUUGAUUUGAUUUAAAAGAGUCCAUGUUUAGUUGGAGUCCUAAAAUUCUGAUUGUAAGAGUCCAUAUUUUUCCAACCUCUUACUCUAUAUAAAGGAGAGAUUGAAGAAUAAAAUUAGAGAAUAAAUUUUGGCUUUCAAUUGCUCUUGAAAUUAAGAGGCGUGAGGCUUCUUCUUCCUCCUUUGGUGAGACUCCAAAGGUUCCUUCUUCCUAGGUGAGACACCUUGAAAACCUUUGGAGAUUCUUCAUUGGUAGAAGCUAGAAAGGUAAGACUCCUUCUUCAUGCCAACCCCGGAUUCUUGAGCGAAGGUAAGACUCUUUCAAUCAAGACCUAA
rnacentral:lncRNA from 1 species